UCGUCGCAAGUCAAAGCCGUGAAGGUUAUGGAGUCUUCUCCUUUGUUUCUUGUUUUACAAGUAACGUUUACAACUUAAAAACGUAAGGUUCAUGCGUAGGAAAUAAUCAUGGAACCUUGGAUAUUAAUUGAUUGACAAGAAACCCAUUCAAAAGUCUAGCCCACCGAGUCUUGUUGCAUACAGUUUUUGGGAGGUCAUGAUCCAUCUCUGAUCUUGGCUGGCUAAGGUGAGACUGACGAGUAUAUGAUAUUUGGAUGGAUUGGUGCUACUGGGUUUUUUAUUCGGAUUUUUAUUUGGGUUUAGGGUGAGUGGAGUCGUGUAUAUGGGCUAUUGUGUUAUGAUAUAUUGUUGGUGGCACGCUGUUCUCCAGAUAGGAGGUAACGGGUGUCACAAUUUGAUGCUGACUUUUACAUAUAAUUUUUCACUCCAUUCUGACAUGA